CAGCCGCCGCGGUAAUACGAGGGGGGCAAGCGUUGUUCGGAAUUAUUGGGCGUAAAGGGUGCGUAGGCGGCUUGACAAGUCUUGUGUGAAAUCUAUGGGCUCAACCCAUAGUCUGCACGGGAAACUGUCGAGCUUGAGAAUGGGAGAGGUGAGUGGGAUUUCCGGCGUAGCAGUGAAAUGCGUAGAUAUCGGAAGGAACACCUGUGGCGAAAGCGGCUCACUGGACCAUUUCUGACGCUGAUGCACGAAAGCUAGGGGAGCAAACGGGAUUAGAUACCCCUGUAGUCCCUGUCUCUUAUAC
rnacentral:rRNA from 1 species